rnacentral:misc_RNA from 1 species
AACAUCGCGCACCUGCGGGAACCUGCGGAGGGAUCAUUACCGAGUGAGGGCCCUCCGGGUCCAACCUCCCACCCGUGUUUAACGAACCUUGUUGCUUCGGCGGGCCCGCCUCACGGCCGCCGGGGGGCACCCCGCCCCCGGGCCCGCGCCCGCCGAAGACACCUGUGAACGCUGUCUGAAGUUGCAGUCUGAGACACUAGCUCAAUCAGUUAAAACUUUCAACAAUGGAUCUCAGAUCGG